AUUUCGUGUUUCUGUUGGUCUGCAUUUUCGUUUCAUGCAAUGCAUUUCAUUCUCUUUGAUGUUCUCGGUGCGUCGAUUGUGUUAUUUGCUUUUCUUCUUUAGUUUACAAGUGCCUUUGCAUAUUUUAGGGUUUUACGGUUUUGCGUUUAGUUGUGCCAGACGCUCAAAUUGAACUAAGUUUUGAGAGAUGAGUGUUUGAGAAACAAAAGAGAAAAGAGAAGGGAGAAGAGAGAGAAGGAUGUCGUCGUUGUCGAGCAUGUUCGGGUGUGGAGUGGUAGUGCGUCGUCGUUUUCAUGUUUUUUUUCUUUCUCUGUUUUCUUCAAGCCUCAUACUCUACUCUUUAAACACUUUAUCUUAUAUUUCGUGUUUUAAUCUCAAAUGAAACUUUUCAUCUGUGCAUUUGUUUUGGAUGAAUUCACUUUUUGAGGUAUGGGGAGCAUGCGUUAUAGAGAAUUUGAUUAAUUUGGGAACUAAUGGUUUGGUUUUCCAAUUCAGCUAUUAGACUAAAACUAGACACUCUUCCUACACACUUAGGAACACUUUGAAACUUCCUUUACCUUUAUAUUUCUGAAUUCUUGUAGACAAAUGUUCUUUUUGCACUACUUUUCUUCUUACCGUUUUCUUUUUCACAUUUUUUGCUACUGAAUUGAUUUGGUUUCAUAGGAGUUGUAUGAUAUGUUAUUAUGUUUUAGUUCUUAUUAUGGUGCUGGACUCUGUCGCAUGUAUAUCCUUUCCAACCUACUCCAGCACCGGUGCCAACACCCCUGGCUGAUUGGAUGUCAAAUCCAACAACUGUUGCACAUCCUGCAGUCUCCGGUGGAGCUAUAGGUCUUGGUGCACCGUCAAUCCCGAGUAUUAUAUUCUUUUGCUUUCUUUCGUUCUCUAACUCUUAAUGACUAGUUGAAUUUAGAAUGUUGUUUGGUUUAUAAUCUUUGACCUCUGAUGUUUUAUUGCCUCUGAUCUUUGACCUCUGAUGUUUUCUUGAUGCAAUGUAUUCACUAAGGCCUUUAAAGUGUGGGAUCUUAGUGCUUGUUCAAUGCCCUUUCAGGUUGCCUUUCUCACCUUAUUUGUUGAUUACCAAACCCUCAGAACUGUUGAGUUUGCAAUGAUUGAAAACAAAACUAAUGAUAAUCAAUUCAGGCUACUUUUGUCAAAGAUCCAGGUGUUUUUGUCAAUCGUGUGAUUUGGAGUCCUGAUGGGGCUUUAUUUGGAGUUGCUUACUUAAGGCACAUUGUUCAGAUAUACUCUUACCAUGGCGGGGAUGAAGUCCGACAGCAUUUGGAGAUUGAUGCUCAUGUCGGUGGAGUUAAUGAUUUAGCAUUUUCACACCCGAAUAAAUAGUUAUGUGUCAUUACCUGUGGUGAUGAUAAGACCAUUAAGUUUGGGAUGCUGCUUCUGGAGCAAAACAAUAUACCUUUGAAGGUCAUGAGGCUCCAGUUUAUUCUGUCUGUCCACAUUAUAAAGAAAACAUUCAGUCAUUUUGAGAAGUAUGGCGAUAUAACAUAUUUGUACAUGCCAAAGGAUCAAGGCUCCUAAACACAUCUUGGAAUUGGUUUCAUCACUUUUGCAAGUGCAGAUUCUGUGGAGACUUUGAUGUCAGAAACCCAUGAACUGAUAGGUUCUGCAGUGGUGGUUGAUCGGGCAACACCUAAAGCAAGAGUUUUUAUUUUUUAUAACCUGGCAUUUUAUAUAAGUUAUCCACAUUAUAGAGAAAUUGUGAGGAUGAUCUCGUCUAGUGUUUGGUCGUGGAGGUGAAGGAGAUGUAGGUCAAAGGAUUCGGGAUGAAAUACUUGUUAUUCAGAGAAAGAAUAAUUGCAAAGGUGGAAAGAUGGAGGAAUGAUACCAGAAAUUACACAAUAAUACUAGCCCUGAUGAUGUUGUGAUCUGUCAGGGUAUUCUGUGUCAAGUUCAGUGGUGAUGAAAGUUAUAUAA